rnacentral:rRNA from 1 species
ACGCUGGCGGCAGGCCUAACACAUGCAAGUCGAGCGGAUGAAGGGAGCUUGCUUCCUGAUUCAGCGGCGGACGGGUGAGUAAUGCCUAGGAAUCUGCCUGGUAGUGGGGGACAACGUCUCGAAAGGGACGCUAAUACCGCAUACGUCCUACGGGAGAAAGUGGGGGAUCUUCGGACCUCACGCUAUCAGAUGAGCCUAGGUCGGAUUAGCUAGUUGGUGAGGUAAUGGCUCACCAAGGCGACGAUCCGUAACUGGUCUGAGAGGAUGAUCAGUCACACUGGAACUGAGACACGGUCCAGACUCCUACGGGAGGCAGCAGUGGGGAAUAUUGGACAAUGGGCGAAAGCCUGAUCCAGCCAUGCCGCGUGUGUGAAGAAGGUCUUCGGAUUGUAAAGCACUUUAAGUUGGGAGGAAGGGCAUUAACCUAAUACGUUAGUGUUUUGACGUUACCGACAGAAUAAGCACCGGCUAACUCUGUGCCAGCAGCCGCGGUAAUACAGAGGGUGCAAGCGUUAAUCGGAAUUACUGGGCGUAAAGCGCGCGUAGGUGGUUUGUUAAGUUGGAUGUGAAAUCCUCGGGCUCAACCUGGGAACUGCAUUCAAAACUGACUGACUAGAGUAUGGUAGAGGGGUGGUGGAAUUUCCUGUGUAGCGGUGAAAUG